UUUUUUGGGGGGGUGAUAUGGUUUGGCUGUGUCCCCACCCAAAUCUCAUCUUGAAUUCCCAUGUGUUGUGGGGGGACCCGGUGGGAGGUAAUUGAAUUAUGGGGGCAGGUCUUUCCUGUGCUGUUCUUGGGAUAGUGAAAAAGUCUCACAAGAUCUGAUGGUUUUAAAAAGGUGAGUUUCCCUGCAUAAUCUCUCUUCUCCUGUCUGGUUCCAUGUGAGAUGUGCCUUUUGCCUUCCGCCAUGAUUGUGAGGCCUCCCCAGCCAUGCGGACCCGCCCAUAGGUGGAAGGGACUUGCCUUGUCUCGGAUGAGACUUUGGACUUUGGACUGUGGACUUUUGAGUUAACACUGAAAUGAAUUAAUGCUGAAAUGAAUUAAGACUUUGGGAGACGGUUGAGAAGCCAUGACUCAUUUUAAAAUGUGAGACAUGCCUUUCACCUUCUGCCAUGAUUGUGAGGCCUCUCCAGCCAUGUGGAACUGUGAACACACAGUGUUCAUCCCCUCAGGAGGACACAGCUUUUGAGGUACCAUCUUGGAAGCAGAGACCAGCCCUCACUAGACACAAACUUCCUGGCACGUUGAUUUUGGACUUCAUAGCCUCUAGAACUGUGAGAAAUAAAUUUUUAUUAUUUAUAAAUUACCCUGUAUUGGAUAUUUUGUUAUAGCAGCACAAAAGGUCUAAGACAAUGACUGAAGGACGGAGCUAUAGGACUCAAAAGACCCUGGUCUUGAAGCCAGAAAGACCUGGCUUUGCCAGUAGCAUGGUAUUUCAAUUAAGUAUGAUUAAACACUCUUCGAGGGAAUAGAAAGGGGAAGGAAGAAUGGAG
rnacentral:lncRNA from 10 species